GAUGAACGCUGGCGGCGUGCCUAACACAUGCAAGUCGAACGGGAGGGCGGACGGGUGAGUAACACGUGGGCAACCUGGCUCAUAGAGGGGGAUAACAGAGAGAAAUUUCUGCUAAUACCGCAUACUAUGAGGUGGACCCGCGUCUGAUUAGCCAGUUGGCAGGGUAAGAGCCUACCAAAGGGACGAUCAGUAGCCGAUCUGAGAGGAUGAACGGCCACAUUGGGACUGGGACACGGCCCAAAGUCAUACGGGAGGCAGCAAUGGGGGAUAUUGCAAAGUGGGGGGGACCCUGAUGGGGCGACGCAGCGUGAGUGAAGAAGUAUUUCGAUAUGUAAAGCUCUAUCAGCAGGAAAGCAGUAACUGAAUAAGAAGCCCAGGCUAACUACGUGCCAGCAGCCGCAGUAAUAC
rnacentral:rRNA from 1 species